rnacentral:rRNA from 1 species
GACGAACGCUGGCGGCGUGCCUAAUACAUGCAAGUUGAGCGCUGAAGGUUGGUACUUGUACCAACUGGAUGAGCAGCGAACGGGUGAGUAACGCGUGGGGAAUCUGCCUUUGAGCGGGGGACAACAUUUGGAAACGAAUGCUAAUACCGCAUAAAAACUUUAAACACAAGUUUUAAGUUUGAAAGAUGCAAUUGCAUCACUCAAAGAUGAUCCCGCGUUGUAUUAGCUAGUUGGUGAGGUAAAGGCUCACCAAGGCGAUGAUACAUAGCCGACCUGAGAGGGGGAUCGGCCACAUUGGGACUGAGACACGGCCCAAACUCCUACGGGAGGCAGCAGUAGGGAAUCUUCGGCAAUGGACGAAAGUCUGACCGAGCAACGCCGCGUCAGUGAAGAAGGGUUUCGGAUCGUAAAACUCUGUUGGUAGAGAAGAACGUUGGUGAGAGUGGAAAGCUCAUCAAGUGACGGUAACUACCCAGAAAGGGACGGCUAACUACGUG